GCAGAGUUCAUCAAGGUAGCAAAAGUGAAGGAGAAGAAGCUCAGAGAAGCUACAGCAGUCUACUUUUGUCUGAUCUACUGGAUAGGGUUAAUUGCCUAAUUCUGAAGCUUCUUCAUCUUUGUCUCCAGCACAUAACUAUCUGAAGAGUCACAACCCAAUAGGAGCUUUUCUGCCUGAAGGUUGGGGGAGAAAUAAUGCUCUACAGCUGGAUACAGUACUGUCUACACUACUAAAAAAAGUAACCUUGAAAAGUAUUUUGUGAGAACACCAUGGCGAUUGUGAGAUGCUGCUGCUUAAAUAGAGUUGAUGGGAACCACAGAUCUGAAUUCUCUGGGCGUCGUUUGGGAACUGCAGCUCUGAGGCCCUGAAUGAUACCAAAAAUAGAUGGAAGAGAACAAUCCCACAGUUGGCUCCCAAGGGAGGGCAGAGCCAUGGCCUUAUAGGGCCUACUAGAGUUCCAGAGGACAGAUUUUUAUGGCUGAAAUACAUAAACUCAUUUGUAAAUAUCACCUGGUAAUAUCCAGAGCAAGAGCUUAUCUGACUAGGGGUGAAAAGACUAUGAAAAAUAUUUGAAUAACAGAUGACAAAUGGGUUUUGCAAGUUGGGAAAUGCUGAUGAGGAGAAUAUUGAAGCAAUAAGACUUUUUGCAAAGCAGAACUUAUUUGCUGUGAAAAAACUACAUGGAUUCUUGGCAAAAAAUGUGUGGUUUUCAUGGUGAGUAAAUUUUAAACUGCAAACAGCUCUACAGAAUAUUACACAGCAGGCUUGGGCAGUGUGUCCUCCCAGGGCUGUUUUUGUGGUCCUGCAAACAAAAGGAUUGUCUAGAAGACUGCAUGAUCUUUUCACAACAUUUGGGGGCCCUGGGACAACCAGGUG